UCCCUUUUUCCAACACAUCAGCAGUCUAGCUAGGGAUAAUUUCUGGGAGACAAUUCAAAGGUGCUGAUUGGCCCUAGCCAAAGAAGGGGUGUGCCUUCUUAGGGACAGAUGACAGCAGGCAGCCACCAAAAACAAAAAUACGGCUUGCUCCCCCACAGCUUUCUUACCUCAGUUCAGAUCUUUGGUCCGCAAACGUGAAGAAGAGGAUUCGUGCUCAUGUUUCUAGCCAAUCAUAGAUCCGGACACCGCGAUUAUUUUAAGACUGGAGAUUGCGAUAAGCAGGAGGAAUCAACAUUGCUAUAAACAGAGUCCGGUUACUACUAUUCCUUCGCUCAAACGAUUGCACAGACAAAUCUUCAAAAGGGGGAAUUGUUUCCUGAAGCAGAUCGCCUUCGGGUGAUGUUAUUGCCAGUGACUGAUGCUUCUUGCGAUCAUCUUUUGACAUUGUAUAUGGUUGUGGCUGUCCGAGAGCAGCCGCCUUCUGCCUCGUUGAGCUGAAAAAAGAGGAAAAAUAACUGCGACUACUCCCUCCGUGCUGAUCACCACCAGGUGCAAAAGGGUCCUGUUCGUUUGCCUUGCGAAUUAAACUGUGUCAAUACAAACCACCAGCCAAAGCAAGGAUUAAAAAUUACUGCAUUAACAUGGUUUUUUCUGAA